UCAUUAAAUAGCCUUGGCGGUCUCAGUGGGAUACCUUGACGAAGGUACCCGCGAGAAUGAUUCUGGCAGGGGUCAAGUUUAAGAAAUUCAUAAGCCGAGAAAUUUUGAUGAAAAGAAAUUAUUUGGUAUAGAUUGAAACGAAUUUUGUGUUAUGAACAUUAUUGAGAUAUAACGUUUUUAUAUUGUCUCCAUCUACUCGGCUUUAGAUGCUUUUGAUGGUAAUUGUUUACUCACUGAGAUUAUGUAAUCAUAAUCUCACCCCUCUUCCUAUCUAUUUUUCAAGCUCAGGACAAUUUGUUGAUAGUUGAUUAAGACGAGAAUUAAUCUCAGAGUUGCAUCCUAGAAAGUAAGGAUUCGUAGCCCUACAUCUUCUUAGUCAGUUGGGGGCCCAUGUGUCACUGU
rnacentral:lncRNA from 1 species